AAUUUCCGGUCUCUAUUAGAAAAUGAAUUGCUUAUGAAUUUUACUUAGUGUAAAAAUAUUAAUGGAAAGUUGGGAUUAAUUUACCAUGAUUAGAUUAUUAAGUGGGGAUUAGUGAUUAAUUAAUCUAAUUAUCGAAAAGUGGGCCCUACGACACGUGGCGAUAUUUGGUUGGACUUGAAUAAAGAUGGACACAUGUCAUGAAAAAUUGACACAUGUCCACUUUGUAAAGAUAAAAUAUAUAGGCAUAAGUGGAAGACUAAGUCAUCACUUAUACCACAAAUUAGUCUUGCAAAUUAGGUCUUAGAGAGAGGGGCUCUCAAGCCUAGAGAGAGAGAGAAGAUCGCGGGUACUGUUCCGUCCACUGUUCACGGCGGGGCUACUAUUCAUGGGCGGCGUACUGUUCACGGCGCACUAUUCACGGCGGCGCUACUGUUCACGCCGCCACUGUUCACGGCCAGCCCAUUUUUGCCCCCUUCUACACAAUUAAUUGGAGAGAUUUGAAUAUUAAGAGAAGGAAAAAGAUGGAGCUCAUGGUAGCCAUGGCUUUCUUGAAGACAUUUCAUGGUGAAAAAUUAGAGCUUGUCUCUAAGGUAAGAUUUAAUUCUUUUCUACAUGUUUUGGAGGUAGUUUAGACUUGUAUAGCUUGGUAGAUGUGUGUUGAAUACAAACGGGUUAUGUAUGUUGAUGUUGAAUUAUAAAUUGAGCCGUGUAAGGGGGGGUGUUUUGAGUAAGAAUGAUGAAUUGAUUUUAGUAGCAUUAUGGAGGAAUUAAAUGGUUAAAUUUAAAGUUGUGUUGUUUUAUGGACAUGUUGUUAUCCUUGCUGAAUUGAAAGGAUUAAGGGUAUGAUUAUGCUCAUAUGAUUAUUGUUGUUGUUAUCAUGGAUUAUGUGAUGAGAAUGAAGGAAUUUAAUGGUUAGAGUUGGAGUUAAAUUUGUUGUGGGUUGUUAUAAGGAUUAUAAUGAUAAUAAUGUGGUUUACUUGCAUAUGGAUAGAUGAUGUAGUUGUGGUGUAGCAGCUGCAGUAUUUCAUUAAAUUUGCUGAAAAGAUUGCAUGAAAUACGGUAUAAGAAGUGAAAAGGGGGCUGCUCUACGCUAGGGGGCUGUUUUCGGUCAUAGAUGGAAAAAUUGUGGAUUGUUGGAAAUAUUAUGUGAAUUGUUUAGAAUGUUCUUGGAUGUUGUUAGUAUGGGUUUGGGUUAGUAUUUGAAUGUAUAAGUGUUGAUGUUGGCUUUGAGGUAAACCGUUGAAUUGAAUAUUUGGAAAGUUGUCGUAUGGUGUAAAAAGGAGCUAUUAAUGUUAUUUUGCCUUUCGAAUUGAUUAUCGAUGUUGCUAGGUUGGUUAUUGUGGUUGUUGUUGCUGAUUUUGAGCGAGUUAAAUUCUCGGGUUAGCCUAUUUACAGGGGAAGUGCUGCCGAAUUUUCUGUAGAAUUUAGAAUUAGUUGGAAUAAAUGACUUAAGUACCUAUGGCUAAUGUUUGAUAUUCGUUGGCGUAUUCAUAGGCCUUGGGGAGCCCGAGGCGUAGGUUGGGAUUAAUUUUAGUUGGGCAAACUUGGAGCGCGUACGAGGUACAGACGCACAGUUUGGUGAUCUACCCAUUUAGGACACCCUCUUCUGCUGUUUGGAGUGCUCUUCUCAUUUCAGAGCACACAUUUUGGUAUAUAUUCGUUCACUAUGUAUAUAUGUAUUUGUUCAGGGGCACGGCGGGGCCCUGUCCCGCCAUAUGAUUCGGUUUGUCUGUUUAGAGGUCUGUAGACGUAUUUGUGGGUGUGUGUGCCUACUUCUGUACGGAUGUGUUUGCAUGACUCUAUUCGUUAUGGCAGCCUCGUCGGCGUGCAUUUUGUAUAUGUUGUGGCAGCCUUGUCGGCGUGCAUUUGUAUAUGCGUUUUGGGCCGUUGUGCCAUUUGACAGCCUUGUCGGCUUUUGACAUAUUUGAUAGCCUUGCCGGCUUUUUGACA